rnacentral:rRNA from 1 species
AUGGUAAUGGAUGGCUUUUUUAAGGAGGGUGAAGUAAGCAAAGCAUGUGAUCUAUUCCACGAAAUGAUACAGCAGGGGGUUGUGCCUACUGAGGUGACAUAUAGCUCCAUUAUCAAUGCGCUAUGCAAAGCAAGAGCAAUGGAUAAGGCAGAGCUGAUCCUUCGACAUAUGGUUCAUAGUGGUGUCCAACCACAUGAUAGGAUAUAUAAUACCCUGAUCCAUGGGUUUUUAACUUCGGGUCAGCAGAAAGAAGCCUUUAGGUUGUUGAAACUGAUGACAAGCCAAGGUGUUAUGCCAAACGUUGUGACUUGCAACUCAGUCAUGGACUACCUUUGCAAGCAUGGAAGAGUCAAAGAAGCUGCAGAAAUAUUUUAUUCCAUGGUUGUGAAGGGCCAAAAACCUAAUGUCAUCUCAUACUCUGUUAUGCUCCACGGGUAUGCUAAAGAAGGAUCCCUUGUUGCUAUGAUUGAUCUCUGUGAGCUGAUGGCAAGAGAUGGAGUUGUUCCCGACCGCUCUUUUUUCAACAUACUGAUUAAGGCAUAUGCUAAAUAUGGAAUGAUCGAUGUGGCUAUGCUUUUCUUUGAUGAAAUGUUGAAGCAGGGGGUGAACCCUAAUGAUAUCACAUAUUUAACUCUGAUAUCUGCAUUUUGCAAGAUGGGCAGAAUGGAUGAUGCUAUGAUCAAAUUCAAUGAGAUGAUUGAUAUGGGAAUACCACAUGAUACAACUGUUUACAUGUGCAUGAUUGAGGGCUAUUUGAAUCAUGGUGAUUCCGUCAAAGCCAAGGAAUUCAUUACUAAAAUGAAGAGCAGGGAUGUUUCUCAUAGCCCACGGAAGGGUAAU